AUGGCCUACUACAGGAAGUGCGUGGAGCUGGCCGUCGAGCAGCUGGACAAGUUUCAGCCUGAGAAGGACCACCCGGAGCAGUUCCUGGAGGCCGUGUCUGCCUCGCUGCAGGCGCUGACCGUGCUACAUCGGGGUGCACGGGGCUGUACUCCCCUCAUCUCUGCGCCCUCCCGGUCACCUCACCAGCCAGCAGCCCUCAGCUCCUCCCCCGAGCCCUGGACUCAAACUCAGGACCUCGCUGGAUGUUCUCUGGGCACCUCCAGUGUGACCCACCCAGAAGUGAACGAUCCAUUGAUGCCCCCAUACUGCCACUGGCCCCGGCUCAGCCAGCAGCAGCUCUGUCUGCCCUUCCUCGGUGUGGGGGAGCCCUGGAGCCCCUGGGGCCCAUCUGCCCGUGGUCACUUCCACGGCGACUGCACGUGCCUGCCACUCCACCCAUCACGCCCACUGCCAAGCCACCCACUGGCUUCCUCGUUUGCACACUGCCCCUCCACUGCCUCUCCUCCCCCAGGAGCCACAGGGAAUGUUCUAGAAUGUCACGCAGAAGGUUCCCUCCGUGCUCAGAACCUCGCUGCCCUCCCAUCACAACCAGAACAGCAGCUGUGGCCUCACGGUGCCCCCACCUGGCCUCUCAAAUCCGCUCUGCUCUGGAUAUGUUGGCCUCCUAGUGCUUCUGGAACAUUCCACACGCUCCCCCAGAUGCCCUGCACUGUGUCUCUCCCACUGGAACACGUUUCCUAAGAUUCUGUACUGGGCUGCUCAGCCCAUACAGCCCCUGGACUGAGAAGGGGCACUUUCUAUAAGCAAGAAAUGAUAAAGUGGCUAUCUUUGUUACAGAGGGCGAAGAAUGUUAUAACAAACGGCUUGAGAGUUUUUUCCCCACAAUCAGCAGAUUAUUAUUACUUUAUUUACUUAUUUAUUUGAGAGGCAGAGUUUAGAGAGAGAGAGACAGAUCUUCCAUCCACUGGUUCACUCCCCAAAUGACCACAAUGGCCGGAGCUGGGCCAACCCGAAGCCAGGAGCCAGGAGCUUCUUCUGGGUCUCCCACGUGGGUGGGAGGGGACCAAGGACUUGGGCAUCUUCCACUGCUCUCCCAGGCGCAUUAGCAGGGAGCUGGAUCCAAAGUGGAGCAGCUGAGACUUGAACGGGCACCCGUGUGGGAUGCUGGUGCCGCAGGCAGAGGCUUAGCCAACAGGUUAUUAACAGUGAGUCCUGGCAGUUACCUGGUGGGUCACAAUAGGUCGGCCAGCGCUGUGCAAUCCCGUGAAGCCCAGCACCCAACACACUGAGCAGACAGGCAGCGGCGGGAGGGCCAGCCCACCCCAGGGAGCUGCGCCCAGUGCACAGACAGCUCCUGUCUCAGAAGCAGGGCUGGGCCUCUGCUGUCUGAGUAGAGCCCCUCGGCCGGUAGGCUGUGGUGACGGCAGUGCCGUGGCUUAAAUAUGUAGGGGCAGCACGUGGCCUAGGGGUUAAGACAGCACUUGGGGUGCCUGCAUCCCGCAUCACAGGGCCUGGGUUCAAGUCCCAGCUCCAGAUCACAGCUCCAGCUGCCUGCUAACGGGCUGGCUCCAGGCGCUGGGCUCCUGCCACCCAGCUGCGGGGCCUGGGCUGGGUUCUUUGCUGCUGGCUUUGCCCAGCUCAGGCAGCUGUGGGCAUCUGGGGGUGACUCAGCAGGCAGGGGCUCUGCCUUUCUCUCUGUGUCUUUCAAAUAAAUAAACACAUUCUAAAAUUUGAAUCA
ensembl:lncRNA